rnacentral:rRNA from 1 species
ACGCUCGACACCUACGGAGGCAGCAGUUGGGAAUAUUGGACAAUGGAGGAAACUCUGAUCCAGUGACGCCGCGUGAAGGAAGAAGGUCUUCGGAUUGUAAACUUAUUUUGUCAGGGAAGAAAAAUGACUGUACCUGAAGAAAAAGCACCGGCUAACUACGUGCCAGCAGCCGGGUAAUCUGAGCGGGCUGGCAAGGC